CCUCAUAGAAGAGAUGUCCCAUUCUUCUGAUCAUUUGUGUGAGCCUCUUCUGGACCUGUUCCACCAGGUUCCUGUCCAUCCGUGCUGAAGAACCCAGAGCUGGAUGCAACACACCAGGUCUGGCUUGCUGCUCUCUUUUGCUUGCUGCUCCUGCUCUGCCACAUGGCUCCUGAAGCAGAAUGUCACAGCACUGAGGUUGUCAGAGUCACCCAAGAGUCACACAUCAGCAAGUCACCACAGACCAGCUGAGCGCAGGAGCUGCUGACAGACUCAUGGAUAACCCAGGGCAAGGGGAAGGGGAGGUGACUUCUUGCAAGAGCUCUCUGACUCUAUCAGGAUACCACUGGGACUUCACCAGGUCCAUAGAUCUGCUGCAUAAUGUGUGAAUGGCCAUAUCUCACCAUGGAGUCAAGAGUUGAGCUGUUAUGAGUACAACAUAAAUAAGAUCAAAAUCAGAGUUGACUUCUGACAGGAGAUGUAAUGGCUGUGGCUGUGCCAAAGCCUGCACCACAGUCCAAAGCCAAUCUCACUUGGGCACUGUGCAACACAACUUCUUCCUUGGACCUCAGCUUCCUACUAGAGGAAUUAUUUCAUCACAGAUGAAGGUCAAUGACGACUGGUCACACAUCACAGCAAAGGGGGCACCAGGACAUGUGAAAUGGAGUUUAAUUUCAGCACAGCAAUAAAAGCCAGA